GCGUGGCGGAAUCCUGUGGUUUUUCAUCAGUGGUUUACACAGCCAGACACUGCCGCAGUACUGUGCCCCUGAGAGUGCGUAGCCUCUGCUGCGUGCGCUUCCUGGACAAAGAA
rnacentral:snoRNA from 1 species